GUGACAUUGUAGCGCUGAACUUCCUAAUGUUACUUUUUUCUAUAAAAAGACUGAAGGCAGAACAGUGUGAAGCUAGAUAAUCUUAACCAUUUGUACGGCUGGAGUUCCUUUUGGCAAUAGUAAAGAAGAUUCUGUGGGGCGGCUGCAGAUACAAGUGAGGGCAAGAUCUGACUCUACAAUUUGAACUUGUUUAAUAAUUCUGUUGGUGAUGUGUGAACAAGAAUAGAAUCCAGCUGCAUUCCCCACGGCAAUGUUGGCUCUGCGGUAGCAACAGAGGAAUAUCAUCACGGCAUCGUUCCCCAAAUUCAUUGACCUUUAACAAGACCUCUUUUCAAAACCCAG